rnacentral:lncRNA from 1 species
UUUUUUUUUCUUUUUUUUUUUUUUUGACAUGGAAUAUUUGGUAGUCAGACAUGUUUUAAAAACUUUUUGCACAAUCUUAAAUUUGAGAAAAAAUAAUUAGGCUAAAUAUAUAAUUUUUCUUCAUUCUAAUUUUAAAAAACAGCAAAACAGCAAUAUCAUCACUUAUGCGAAUGGUAAUAAAAUCAAAAUAAUUAAAAGCCCAAACAAUUUUCAGAAGAGAAUACAAUACUGAUUUCCUUUUAAAUCAGAACUCAUUGCACUGAAGGAAAUCCUAGAAAUGUGGAGAAAAUAAACAUUAAAAAAAAUCAAUCCCACAACAACAUCUUUUGAUUCUGACCUUACUUCAGUGUCCUACUUUCACAGCUUUGUUUCUACAGUUAAGUAAGGUGAAUAUCAUAUUUAUUUUGACUUUUUAUUUUUAUUUCCAAAAAUAUCUUUGCAUUAAAGUUCUAAAAAGACAAUUAGUGACAAGAAUAGUUUCCUAUGUCAUGCCUUCAAUAGUCGCAUUCCUCAGCAUGGUUUCACAGCCCAGAAAUUUUUCUUAGUCAUUGAUUUUCACCUUUCAUUUUAUUUUCCAUUGCACUAUGCCUUUUUCCUGGGGAGUAGAAAGGCAUUUGGUCUGGUGGACCAGGUGAUUAACUCUGAAUGCAUCAGAUGUUCUUCUAACAACCAGGUCAUAGUUUUUCAAAGACUCCAUCCAGCUCUGUGUACUCUUUGUAGCUGCUUCUGUAAAUGACUGCUCCCAAGAUAACCAUGGCAUCUCUCUAGUUGGAUUCUGAAACAUAAAUUCAGCACUGGACACACAGUGUCUUGAUCUCCCAAAUUGUCUAUGGUGAAUGCAGAUUUUAACAUUUUGAACAGAGUCUGACAAUAUAAACUUAUCAAACCAAAUGAAAGUUUAGUUGAUAUAGGUGAAUCAGUUCAAAGUUACCAACAGAUUAUUUUUCUUGAAAAAAGAAAAUAGGUUAAAAGUUGCUGUUCUGCUCAGCCAUUGCCAAGUCAUAUUGAAAAUGCAUUUUCAAAACAGUUUUACUAUGUCUCAAGGACUACUUAAUUUUUCCUUAGUCCUUAUUUAUAAUGUUUGAAAUCCCUGUAUUCAUAUUAGUGUCUGCAGCUUUGUCUGAUAGGAUCUUCAUCAUAGCCUGCAAUUUUAUUAAAAAUAUUUUUCUAUUGUUUAUGCAAAAUGUGCCCUUGUUGAAAGAGGUACCUCCCAAAGAAGAAUUUUUGAAAGAGCUUCCUUUCGUUGUUGGUGAGUAUCUGACAGAAGAGGGUUUAGGGGUACAUCCUCUUUCCUACAAAUCGUAUUUAUAAGCUCUUUACGUCUGUAAUAGACUUUCAAAUUAUUAUUGUGUGUUACUUGUGGUACAGCUUGAUUGUGUCACUUCCUGUCAUUGUAAGUAGAUUCAUUAACCUCUGCAUUUCCUCAAAGGCUUCUCUCCCAAGAAGUUUGCAUCUUAGUAGUUUUCAAGGAUUGAGGGUAGCAUCAAGGCUUCCACUUCAAAAGAAUUCUUGAAACAAUUCUAGUUGUACCAGUCCCUUUGGCCAUUGGUUAUAUAUUAUUAUGUCAAAGGUAAUGUGCUUUUUAAAUCACUACAUAACACUCAAAUAUAUAAUCUAGUGCUGCUUCACCCAAAGUAUCCAUAGAGAUCUGGAGAUUUAUGUUUUAUCUCUCUGUCUGGGUGUAUAAAGCACAGAGAUUCCUUAAGUACCUUGUAGUACCCAGGAGCAAAUGGGGUAAUACUAUGCUACCAUUGUAAUCUUUUUGGUUGCAUAUAUUUCAAUUUAGCCUUAAGCACUUUUAGUGAAAAUGUCUGUUAAAUAAUUUAUUUCUGGAUAAAAUAGGAGACAAAUGUCAUCAUUUUAUAAUUCUUUAAUAGACCAUAAAAAUUGUUUUUCCCAUUGUUAUCUGAAAGGGCAAAGAACUUGCUUUAAGAUGUUAGACAGCAAAAUUUCUUGCCAGAUUUAGAGACAGAGUAUUUUCCUCCAUGUAGCCUGAUCCAUAAGGGCACUCAUAAUGAUGAUGGAGACUAUCAAAAUGCCUGCUGGACCAUCUGAGAGAGUAGCUUAGUGGGACUUUCAUGGAAGCAAAUAUUCUUUUCAGAUUUUGAGUCUGGUUACAGAAGCUGCAGCAGUGCUUACUUCACCAUGCCUGCUAGCAUGAAAAAGAAUAACUUUCUAAAUUAGUAUCAUAAUGUGAUAGCUGUAAAAGUAUAAUGUGCCUAAGAAUCUACAGGUCUGUCUCUGACAAAGCCCCUCAUCUUUGUAGCACCUCUCUGUCUACCUGUCUGCUCAUUUUCCAUGAGGCAUUUCUAUUUUAUGCCUACAAUGGCACAUUAAGACAAGAAUUUCUUUUCUGAUACAAUCUCCACACCAUAACUACUCUGACCUUCCAGUAUUUGUGUCAGUGAUUGCAGUCCCUAGCUUUUCUUGGCUUGCUGGUAGUAGCAGCUCUAUCUGUGCUGUCAUCCACAGCUUCUCUGGUUUUAGCCAUUCCACAUUUAUUAUGGAAGAGAGGUCAUAAUUUCAAUCAGUGUGCUUGCAAAUAAGUAGUAACUCCCACUAGCAAGAGUCCCUACACACUUCUAAUCAAAGAUAAUGUUUUGCUUUUCCCCAGCCAAUUCCUCCAAUUGUAUUGUCUUAAUAACGCUCCCCAUUCCUCAUCAUAUCUUCCUGGAUCAUAAUGGCUUUUGUCCAUUCUAGCAUUUUAUUCUCCAUCAUAGUCCUAUCUUCUGUGUCUUUGUUCUCAACAGACACAUUAUGUCUUGUUUAGCUGUCAUCAAAAGCAGCCAGUUUAUUCUCUCUGUGCAGCUACAGCUCUAGCUGUGACCAUUCUCUUGGGUAGAGCAUUCCUUAAUCAUGCAGAGGAUUUUUUAUUUUGCAAAUUCCCUGUUCUGUCCCUGCUUCCUGCAGAAACAUACUGGGUGAACAUUUGUCUUUUUCUCUUGCUUUUUCAGUAAAGUGAAAAUCUCUCCUUGACAAUACCUUCAAAACUCUUAUUCAUGCUUAUUUAAUAAACUAAGAUUCAAGUGGUUGGGAACAGAAAAUACCUUGGCUGCAGCACUUUUGAACAAUUCCUUUGGGACCGUCAGGUUUCAGUUGUCCUGUUCACUAUGGUGAAACACUCUUACUACUGAGAAAUACUUCUUCCUUUCUUAAUCUCCUGGUAUAGCCUCUUAUCCAUGCAGCUUAAAGAAAAGAUUUCUUACCUUUCUAAUUUCUUGCAUCAAUAUUAAGAGAAGCUAUGAACUUGACAAAAAUUCAAUUUCAAGGAUCACCACAUCUGUUGAUUUAAAAUAGCUUGCUGCUAACUCUAUGUAUGUUAAUGUCCACCAUCUGAACUAGAUUAUGGUAAAAUACAAAUAAAAGCUAUUUAUGCCUUUAAAUAUACAACAAUGUUAUGGAACAUUGUAAAGGAUGGGUAACAAAUGAACACUACUUUAUUGAAUUAUGCUAACAUCAGAUUUUUGUAUUGCUAGUAUUUAGCUGAAGACUCUCUCAUUUAAGAUGGGUCUCUAUUUUAGAGCAUAAUCGCUUUUUGAAGGCUUCUUCCUGGACAGUUUUAUGUUGUUUCUUAGACACACUGAACUUUGCUUGUUUGUUUUGGUUUUGUUAGUGUAAAUCUUCUCUUAGGAACUGUUCAAGCCCAUAAUAUUUUGGGAUUUCCCAAGCUUUUCCUUCCAAAAUAGUUUUCUUUCCCCAAAGCUUGUUCACCUAUAAGUACACAGAGACAUUUUUGACAUUUUUCCUGUUAAAUUACAAAGGUGCUUAGGUUUUAUUUAGAUUCUUUGGAAAUUAAAAGCCACCUGUUCUACAAUUGCUUAUUUACAUAUCUUGAAUUCUUUUAGUAGUAAAGUAAAACUCUCUUCCCUAUUUGCUUACUAAAUGUCUACAUUCCAAUGUAAAACAUCUCCACAAAAAAAGCCUUAAUUCUGAAACCAACUUGCAAUUUGAAAAACAUACCUAAUUCAGGGUUAUAGUUGGAAAAAUUGCUUGUCACUCAUUACCAUCUCUUGACUGAGACCAGACAGGAUAUUAAUCAACACUUUGAAAUGAUGAUGGCUUGAGAAACACUGGACCUGUGCUGUUUGGUGAAAAAAAACAGAGAAAUUUUGUUGGAAACAUAAGAUUUAAAGUCACAACCAAACUGUUGCAAUUAUUGAGGCUAAGUGCUUAGAUCAAAAUUCCUGAAAUGAACUUGAAAUGUGUGGAUAUAAUUAUUAAAUAAUAGAAAAUUAAUCUGGGAAGUAUAUUCUAAGUCCUGUAAUCCUUCCCUCUCUCCUUUAUGAUGACAUUCCAGAUAGGUGUCCAUCCAGUCCUUUAUAUUUAGUCAAAAAACAUCAUGUUCUGGGGAAUUGCAUUUGGAGUUUAGUUACCUUGUCUAGUCCUUGCUGAAAAUUAAAUAUAUUAUUACUUAUCCUAGCAGCCCUGGUCAUGGGCAAUGAAAUAUAAUUUUUUAAUUGUUUCUACAUGAUCUCUUUGAUUGUACUAACUACUAGUUUUUCUAACCUCUGUCAUGUCUUGACUAAGCCAGGUCAGAUUUUUUCCAUCAUUGCUGUUCAUGUCUUUCAGAUCUUUUCUUUCCUGAUUAAUCUGUUCAAGUAGCUUGUUUGAUAUUUUUUCCUUUGGAGUGCAUUACAACAAAACUACAUGUAAUGUUCAGAUGCAGCCAGUACUAAGGAAAUCAGAGUUAUGUUGCUCUCACUCACAGCUGUUGCUCAAGUUUGGCAUUAUCUUUUUCACAACACAGCAAUGAAAAAUUGAUUCCUGUUCAGCUUGUAAUAGCAUUCGCUCCUCAUGUUUUCUCCAUAUUUUAAGUGGUUGAAAGACUUCUGGUGACUCCGUGACACACAAAAUUUUAUUUAUUUAUACUGACGUUCCCACGUACAUUAUAUUCUCUAUUAAUUCUAUUUAUUUUUAUACUUUGUUUUCAAGCAUGAAAGUCAGACAGGUUGGUCCUUAGCUGUGUAGUUCUCCAGAAGCACUUUUUAAAUUAUUUGCAUUUAUUUCUGUGAAGUGUCUUUCAAAAUUAUUACAUUUCCUACUACCAUACAGAAAUUUAAUUUCUAAGCCUCUGUAGGACUCAAAAGAUAAUAUUGCAUGGCUUGGCUAUCUACUAAUGGUAAUUUUAUCUGUUUAUUUUAAAAACACAAUUUGAUGCUCAGGUCAAAAAAGUUCUGCCAUAUUUAAGAAGUUUCUGAGCUCACAUGUCCUUAAUUUUCUAAACUAUUUUCUGGUCAAUGUGCCCUAAAUAUGAGUAUGGACAUAUCCCAUUCUGCCACUUCACUCCUGUUUAUGUUUUGUAAGUUCACAGAAUCAUAGAAUUGUUUGGGAUGGAAGGGACCUUAAGUAAAAUUUCAUAGCUCUGCUCUCUGAGCUACCUGCAAGAAAUGUGUACCAGAGUGGCAGUACUGCCUCUGGAGACAAAGACCAGAUGGGAUGUGGCACCCUGUGCACCUUCAGCUGACUCUUUUUAAGUCUUCUAAUGAGUUAACGCAAUAUAGCUUCUUUAGAGCACUCACUAGAAAUGGGCAUGAAAAAUGCCAUUCUGUUUUUCGCUGACUGCUUUGUGGAAGUAGAUACAAUGAAAAUUUUCAAGAUUUGAGAAAAUAUUUUUCCUUCUGAACCCAGCUCUGGAUUUAAUUUCAUUGAGUCACCUGGGAUCUAAACACAAAAGGCCAUAAUUUCCCCUGGGCAGAGUAUAAAAACAGACACUCUAUUUAUAAGAGGCCUUUCUAAUAUGUUCAUAGUCCUGGUAGAUGGGGUUGCCAUUCAAGCUCUCCUGAUCAAAACUAGGAAAAAGCGUCAUUUUGUUGAUGUGUUGUCUUAUUUGUGGCAAGAACUAUCAAUCACAGUUUACAUUCUGGCUUUGGUUUCUGCAGAAGUUCAAAUCAGGAAGUAUGCAAGCAGGAACUUAGCUUGUUUCACAGUGGAAAAAAAAAAAAAAAAAAAA